UACGUAGGGUGCGAGCGUUAAUCGGAAUUACUGGGCGUAAAGCGUGCGCAGGCGGCUUUGCAAGACAGAUGUGAAAUCCCCGGGCUUAACCUGGGAACUGCAUUUGUGACUGCACAGCUGGAGUGCGGCAGAGGGGGAUGGAAUUCCGCGUGUAGCAGUGAAAUGCGUAGAUAUGCGGAGGAACACCGAUGGCGAAGGCAAUCCCCUGGGCCUGCACUGACGCUCAUGCACGAAAGCGUGGGGAGCAAACAGG
rnacentral:rRNA from 1 species